AUGAACGCUGGCGGCGUGCCUAAUCCGUGCAAGUCGAGCGAACGGACGAGAAGCUUGCUUCUCUGAUGUUAGCGGCGGACGGGUGAGUAACACGUGGAUAACCUACCUAUAAGACUGGGAUAACUUCGGGAAACCGGAGCUAAUACCGGAUGAUAUUUUGAACCGCAUGGUUCAAAAGUGAAAGACGGUCUUGCUGUCACUUAUAGAUGGAUCCGCGCUGCAUUAGCUAGUUGGUAAGGUAACGGCUUACCAAGGCAACGAUGCAUAGCCGACCUGAGAGGGUGAUCGGCCACACUGGAACUGAGACACGGUCCAGACUCCGACGGGAGGCAGCAGUAGGGAAUCUUCCGCAAUGGGCGAAAGCCUGACGGAGCAACGCCGCGUGAGUGAUGAAGGUCUUCGGAUCGUAAAACUCUGUUAUUAGGGAAGAACAUAUGUGUAAGUAACUGUGCACAUCUUGACGGUACCUAAUCAGAAAGCCACGGCUAACUACGUG
rnacentral:rRNA from 1 species